rnacentral:rRNA from 1 species
GACGAACGCUGGCGGCGCGCCUAACACAUGCAAGUCGAACGAGCGAGAGAGAGCUUGCUUUCUCAAGCGAGUGGCGAACGGGUGAGUAACGCGUGAGGAACCUGCCUCAAAGAGGGGGACAACAGUUGGAAACGACUGCUAAUACCGCAUAAGCCCACGGCUCGGCAUCGAGCAGAGGGAAAAGGAGCAAUCCGCUUUGAGAUGGCCCCGCGUCCGAUUAGCUAGUUGGUGAGGUAACGGCCCACCAAGGCGACGAUCGGUAGCCGGACUGAGAGGUUGAACGGCCACAUUGGGACUGAGACACGGCCCAGACUCCUACGGGAGGCAGCAGUGGGGAAUAUUGCACAAUGGGGGAAACCCUGAUGCAGCGACGCCGCGUGGAGGAAGAAGGUCUUCGGAUUGUAAACUCCUGUUGUUGAGGAAGAUAAUGACGGUACUCAACAAGGAAGUGACGGCUAACUACGUGCCAGCAGCCGCGGUAAAACGUAGGUCACAAGCGUUGUCCGGAAUUACUGGGUGUAAAGGGAGCGCAGGCGGGAAGACAAGUUGGAAGUGAAAUCUAUGGGCUCAACCCAUAAACUGCUUUCAAAACUGUUUUUCUUGAGUAGUGCAGAGGUAGGCGGAAUUCCCGGUGUAGCGGUGGAAUGCGUAGAUAUCGGGAGGAACACCAGUGGCGAAGGCGGCCUACUGGGCACCAACUGACGCUGAGGCUCGAAAGUGUGGGUAGCAAACAGGAUUAGAUACCCUGGUAGUCCACACCCGUAAACGAAGAUUACUAGGUGUUGGAGGAUUGACCCCCUCAGUGCCGCAGUUAACACAAUAAGUAAUCCACCUGGGGAGUACGACCGCAAGGUUGAAACUCAAAGGAAUUGACGGGGGCCCGCACAAGCAGUGGAGUAUGUGGUUUAAUUCGACGCAACGCGAAGAACCUUACCAAGUCUUGACAUCCUGCGACGCACAUAGAAAUAUGUGUUUCCUUCGGGACGCAGAGACAGGUGGUGCAUGGUUGUCGUCAGCUCGUGUCGUGAGAUGUUGGGUUAAGUCCCGCAACGAGCGCAACCCUUACUGUCAGUUACUACGCAAGAGGACUCUGGCAGGACUGCCGUUGACAAAACGGAGGAAGGUGGGGAGGACGUCAAAUCAUCAUGCCCUUUAUGACUUGGGCUACACACGUACUACAAUGGCGUUAAACAAAGAGAAGCAAGACCGCGAGGUGGAGCAAAACUCAGAAACAACGUCCCAGUUCGGACUGCAGGCUGCAACUCGCCUGCACGAAGUCGGAAUUGCUAGUAAUCGUGGAUCAGCAUGCCACGGUGAAUAAAAGCCCGGGCCUUGUACU